CUGGAUGGCUGUUGUUGUACGCCUUCUCCCUAUCCAUACAUAGGCCUACCGUUUGCUCAAUAGAUGACGUUAUUGACGACGACCUUGGCCAUGAAUCUAUACUGUAAAUACCAACCACCUGAACCACAGGCCUAUAAAUGAACUCAGACCUCGGGUGUCGGUGACAUGAUCUGUGGGCCCGCAGGCAGCACAAUGAGGGUGUGUUUAUGACAGGUCCUGAACCUUUGCGUGCUGGUAUGGGGAAGGAGGCUUGCAGCACGCCAUUCUCCCCCUCUCUUACAAGAACCGCUGCCAAAUUGCGUUCAGAUGGAGCAAUACAUGAGAGGGCACUGCCAAGAGUCAUUUGCAAUACAUGUUCCCAAAAGGUCCUCUGCAUUUCUCACCAAAUAUCAGAUCCACCCUUAAUCAACUUCGACAUUGAGAAGUGGAGGAAGAGCGCCACCGACUAUAAGUAUGCUUUUAGUCACCUAAGUAAUGAUUCAAAUGCCCCUAAUCUUUUUUUUCUCAAGAAACAUUAUCCUUGCAUGCGAUGAACCACUAAAUGGAGGAACCCUUUGGACGGCACACACCUUAUACUGUAAAUGUUACCAAGUGACAAGGGAAGAGCAGGCCUCGCUGUGCCCUCCUCCUCUUGGAAGUUAUUCAAAACAACUCAGCAUUGGCUACAUUACUGGGCUCACACUCAAAGCACAGGAGCACUUUUUAGUGGGGGGAUAGCCCACUGUUACAGUCCAAUUCAUUUGUGUAGAUAGCGCAGACAUGAUUUAUAGUGGAUUUUCAAGUGUGUUCUACUGACAAACGAGCUCCCAUCUGCCUCCGGCACACAAUAGACAAUACAUGCAACUCAAGCACAUUCAUGCGAGGCUUCUCUUUAGUCAAGGGCCUCGUUGCCUAAAUGCCUCUGCGACGAUUCUCUU